rnacentral:rRNA from 1 species
AACUACGGCCAUGCCACCCUGAACGUUCCCUGUCUCGGCUGAUCUUGGAAGCUAAGCAGGGUCAGGCCUGGUUAGUACUUGGAUAGGAGACCACCUAGGAAGACCAGAUGCUGUAGGUG